rnacentral:rRNA from 1 species
GCAAGUCGAGGGGUAACAGGGAGCUUGCUCCGCUGACGACCGGCGCACGGGUGCGUAACGCGUAUAGAACCUACCUUUUACUGAGGAAUAGCCUUUAGAAAUGAAGAUUAAUGCCUCAUAGUAUUGAGAUUCGGCAUCGAGUUUUAAUUAAAGAUUUAUUGGUAAAAGAUGGCUAUGCGUCCUAUUAGUUAGAUGGUAAGGUAACGGCUUACCAUGACUUCGAUAGGUAGGGGUCCUGAGAGGGAGAUC